GCUUGGGAAUUUGCCUUUAGGUGGGGGACAACAGUUGGAAACGACUGCUAAUACCGCAUAAUAGCUACGGCUCAAAGGGGGCUUCGGCUCCCGCCUUUAGAGAAGCCCAAGUGGGAUUAGGUAGUUGGUGAGGUAAAGGCUCACCAAGCCCACGAUCCCUAGCUGGUCUGAGAGGAUGAUCAGCCACACUGGAACUGAGACACGGUCCAGACUCCUACGGGAGGCAGCAGUGGGGAAUUGUUCGCAAUGGGCGCAAGCCUGACGACGCAACGCCGCGUGGAGGAUGAAGGUCUUCGGAUU
rnacentral:rRNA from 1 species